rnacentral:rRNA from 1 species
GUUUCCCGUAAGGCGCCGAAUGAGUCAUUANAAAAUUAACAUCAUCCGAUCCCUAGUCGGCAUAGUUUAUGGUUAAGACUACGACGGUAUCUGAUCGUCUUCGAUCCCCUAACUUUCGUUCUUGAUUAAUGAAAACAUCCCUGGCAAAUGCUUUCGCAGUAGUUAGUCUUCAAUAAAUCCAAGAAAUUCACCUCUGACAAUUGAAUACUAAUGCCCCCAACUAUCCCUAUUAAUCAUUACGUCGAUCCUAGAAACCAACAAAAUAGGGUCAAACGUCCUAUUUCAUUAUUCCAUGCUAAUAUAUUCAAGCGUGAGCCUGCUUUAAACACUCUAAUUUUUUCAAAGUAACAGUCCUGAUUCCCCGCGACACCAAAUUAAUGACAUCACGGUUCUUCAGAAGGGAGAAACCAGUGACACCAGUGCAUACCAAAGGCAUGACCAGCGUACUGAUCCCGAAAUUCAACUACGAGCUUUUUAACUGCAACAACUUUAAUAUACGCUAUUGGAGCUGGAAUUACCGCGGCUGCUGGCACCAGACUUGCCCA